ACGCUGGCGGCGUGCCUAAUACAUGCAAGUCGAACGGUCUUUUCUAUGGAAGCUUGCUUCCACUGAGAAGAUAGUGGCGGACGGGUGAGUAACACGUGGGUAACCUGCCCAUAAGAGGGGGAUAACAUCCGGAAACGGGUGCUAAUACCGCAUAGUUUUUUCUGAUCGCAUGAUCGGGAAAGGAAAGACGGCCUUUGUGCUGUCGCUUAUGGAUGGACCCGCGGCGUAUUAGUUAGUUGGUGAGGUAAUGGCUCACCAAGACGAUGAUACGUAGCCGACCUGAGAGGGUGAUCGGCCACAUUGGGACUGAGACACGGCCCAAACUCCUACGGGAGGCAGCAGUAGGGAAUCUUCCGCAAUGGACGAAAGUCUGACGGAGCAACGCCGCGUGAGUGAAGAAGGUUUUUCCGGAUCGUAAAACUCUGUUGUCAGAGAAGAACAAGUUGGAGAGUAACUGCUCCAGCCUUGACGGUAUCUGACCAGAAAGCCACGGCUAACUACGUGCCAGCCGCAGC
rnacentral:rRNA from 1 species